rnacentral:lncRNA from 1 species
AGGGCUCGGGCAUUUGAGGCUGUAGGGAAGUAUGAGAUGGCUAUGCUUGAUGUGCAAGUGCUAUUGGGAGUUGAACCUAAUCACGGGGAUGCUUUAGAGAUUGCUAGGAGAUUGAGGACUGCGUUGGGAACUCGCCAGGAAGCUCAGCAGGACCUUCAUAGUCGCCCUUCCCCUGCUGCCCUUGGUGCUUCUGCGGUUCGUGGUGCUCCAAUUGCUGGUUUAGGGCCAUCUUUACCUGCCCGACCAGGGCCUAAGAAGGGGGCAAGUGCAGCUACUGGAUUGCUUGUGUCACCUAAUUACAAGCCAGAGAAGCCCCAAGUUAUUUUAUCAUCUGAAAAUGGUCAUGAGAACAAGUCACAGUCUCCAAAACUUUCGUUGAAACCCUCAAGUGGCUCCGCUAAUACCUCUAAUCCAAGGAAGGGAAACCAGAAGGAUCUGUUGUCUCAUUCAGCAAAUGUUCAGCACUCAGAGGUUGUAAUUCGGUUGAGACCUUUGAAACUUGUUUAUGAUCAUGAUAUCAGGCUUGCUGAGAUGCCAGUGAAUUGCAGUUUUAGAGUGCUGCGAGAAUUAGUGACCAAGAGAUUUCCAUCAUCAAAGUCUGUUCUGAUCAAGUAUAAGGAUAAUGACGGUGAUUUGGUGACUAUAACAUCUACGGAUGAACUCAGAUUGGCCGAAGGUAGUGUGGAUAGCCAUCUCCUGAAAGAACCCGAAGCAGAUAAAAGUGAUUCAGUUGGGAUGCUGAGACUAAAUAUCGUUGAAGUUAGUCCUGAGCAGGAGCCACCUUUAUUGGAAGAAGAGGAAGAAAAACCUGUGGAGAGCGAUGGGAUCAAGGAAGUUGAGAGUGAGUCUCAAUCACCCAAUGAAUCUUUCUCUGAGGCCCCUGACACUGAAGCUGAUAAGAUAGAGAAAGAUGCACCGAAGGAAAAGCCUGGUUCUGCCACAGAAGCUACUGAAUGCAAGGAAGUGGAGAUGGAUGAUUGGUUGUUUGAAUUUGCUCAGCUUUUCCGCUCUCAUGUUGGUAUUGAUCCAGAUGCUCAUAUUGACUUGCAUGAGCUGGGGAUGGAGUUUUGUUCUGAGGCACUCGAGGAAACAGUCACCGGUGAGGAGGCCCAGGAUCUCUUUGACAAAGCGGCUUUGAAGAGUUUUUUACAUUGUCACUAUAUUAUCUAUCAUUCAUUUUCAAUUUAACUUUUCAGAAAAAAUAAUCAAAAUGAAAAAUAAAUGAUGCACUGAUAAUAUAUAAUUCUUUAUAUUGUUAGUGUAUCAAUAUUAUACUCUUAAAAAUAUAAGUUAGAUAAGAUAACCCCUCUGAAUAAUUAUUUAAAUCUGAUCCCAUGAUGUGAGGGAAGAGAUUUCCGAAAACAAAUGAUGUGUUACAUGAAGCACAUCUUAUUGGUCGGAAUAAUUUGUAUAAACUUUUCUAACCAAUAAAAAACACAUUAUAAUAGUAUAAACUUUGGAAUAGAAAAUCUAUACUCUAUAUUACAUGGAGUGAGUAGGAAGCAGUUAUUGUUUGGCCCAAAAGCGUGAAAAAGUGGGGGAAAAUGACUGGUCUGUGAGUAAUGGAGAUUUUCGCGGAUCCAGUCGUAAAUCAAUGAACCUGUCUGUCCUCUUUUGGGGUUUUAGAUGUAUGAAAAUAAAAUACCAUGCCAAAUUUUCUUACAAAUUCUUGUGUCACUUUUUUCUUGUGUAGAUGAUGAUUUAGUAAUUGAAUAUAUCAAUACUUUCUUAGACGUGUUAUGGACAUUAAAUAUGAUCAUAGUUUUUUUGAAAAAGAAAAUAGUCACAACUACAAAUAUCUAAUUUUAUCAUAAAUUUUCCAUAUGCAUUGAGCAAAAUUGUAUGACAAAAUAAAUAUGUUAUCCAAAUUAUAUCUUAUAUCUUAUCUCUCGUGCCAAUAAUUUUUUUAGAAAAAACAACACUAAACUAAAAAAAAUAGAAUUUUUAACAUGUAACCAAACUAUUUAGUAACCUAAAACAAACUAUAAAGUGUGAAAAACUACUUUCACAUAUACUUAAUAAAAUUAUGGUGAGUUAGAAGAGUUGAACAUAUAUCACUAUAGGAUUUAUAACUUAAAUUUUCAUCAAGUAAACAAACCUUUAAUAAUUAAAAUUAACUAAACAUUUUUAUUAUGCAAUUAAUUAAUUAAAAAAGAAUUUUGAAAGUGGAAGUUAAAAUAUGAUUUCAGGAAAAAAAACAUAAUAUAAAUAUAAACAUUUUAGCAAUCCAAUAAAAUUGGAUAUACCAAAACAAAUGUACCAAAAAAGCCAAUAAAAUUGGGAGGCCUAAGCAUUGGGCCUCUAAGGCCCACCACGAUUUCGGGUGCUGAAUCUGCUAAUGAUUCAUAUCUAGGGUUUCAAACCCUAACGAUAUCACUUCUCAAAACCCAACGUUAUUCCUUAACUGAACCUUCACCAUUUCUCCCCCAUCUUCUACAAUUCUCCAUUGGGCAAUCGCAGGCACAAAGAAAGUUUCAUUUUUUCGCAGAAAUUCCUUAUCUUUCAGCUUCUUACCUGUAAGUUCCUCUCACCCUCAAUGGGUAUAUAUCUAUAGGUAAAUACUGAUUUUAAUUUAGUUGAGUAUUUAGGUGAUUUUAAUUUAGGUGAAUAAGGGAAAUAAAUAUCAAAUGGGAAAAUCUGGGGGUAGAAGAAAAAAGGGUAGUGCUUCAAAAUCAAACCAAGCUUCUGUUGAUGAUUCAGUUGCUCCAAUUGCUAAUGGUAGUGUGGAUUUGGAUUCCUCAAUAUUUUUGAAGAGAGCCCAUGAGCUCAAAGAAGUGGGAAAUGUAAAGUUCCAGAAUAAGGACUUUGUUGGUGCCCUACAACAUUAUGAGAAUGCCCUAAAACUAACCCCUAAGACCCACCCUGAUAGGGCUGUUUUCCACAGCAACAGAGCUGCUUGUUUGAUGCAAAUGAAACCUACUGAUUAUGAAUCUGUGAUUGCCGAGUGCACCAUGGCGCUUCAGGUUCAGCCGCAAUUUGCUAGGGCACUCAUUCGGAGGGCUCGGGCAUUUGAGGCUGUAGGGAAGUAUGAGAUGGCUAUGCUUGAUGUGCAAGUGCUAUUGGGAGUUGAACCUAAUCACGGGGAUGCUUUAGAGAUUGCUAGGAGAUUGAGGACUGCGUUGGGAACUCGCCAGGAAGCUCAGCAGGACCUUCAUAGUCGCCCUUCCCCUGCUGCCCUUGGUGCUUCUGCGGUUCGUGGUGCUCCAAUUGCUGGUU